GGUGAGGUGAGGGAGUUACAGUCUAGAGGGUGAAGUGAGGGAGUUACAGUCUGGAGGGUGAGGUGAGGGAGUUACAGUCUAGAGGGUGAGGUGAGGGAGUUACAGUCUAGAGGGUGAAGUGAGGGAGUUACAGUCUAGAGGGUGAGGUGAGGGAGUUACAGUCUGGAGGGUGAGGUGAGGGAGUUACAGUCUAGAGGGUGAGGUGAGGGAGUUACAGUCUAGAGGGUGAAGUGAGGGAGUUACAGUCUAGAGGGUGAGGUGAGGGAGUUACAGUCUAGAGGGUGAAGUGAGGGAGUUACAGUCUAGAGGGUGAGGUGAGGGAGUUACAGUCUGGAGGGUGAGGUGAGGGAGUUACAGUCUAGAGGGUGAGGUGAGGGAGUUACAGUCUAGAGGGUGAGGUGAGGGAGUUAGUCUGGAGGGUGAGGUGAGGGAGUUACAGUCUAGAGGGUGAGGUGAGGGAGUUACAAUCUGGAGGGUGAGGUGAGGGAGUUACAAUCUGGAGGGUGAGGUGAGGGAGUUACAGUCUAGAGGGUGAGGUGAGGGAGUUACAAUCUGGAGGGUGAGGUGAGGGAGUUACAGUCUGGAGGGUGAGGUGAGGGAGUUACAGUCUAGAGGGUGAGGUGAGGGAGUUACAAUCUGGAGGGUGAGGUGAGGGAGUUACAGUCUAGAGGGUGAGGUGAGGGAGUUACAAUCUGGAGGGUGAGGUGAGGGAGUUACAGUCUAGAGGGUGAGGUGAGGGAGUUACAAUCUGGAGGGUGAGGUGAGGGAGUUACAGUCUGGAGGGUGAGGUGAGGGAGUUACAGUCUAGAGGGUGAGGUGAGGGAGUUACAGUCUAGAGGGUGAAGUGAGGGAGUUACAGUCUAGAGGGUGAGGUGAGGGAGUUACAGUCUAGAGGGUGAAGUGAGGGAGUUACAGUCUAGAGGGUGAGGUGAGGGAGUUACAGUCUGGAGGGUGAGGUGAGGGAGUUACAGUCUAGAGGGUGAGGUGAGGGAGUUACAGUCUGGAGGGUGAGGUGAGGGAGUUACAGUCUAGAGGGUGAGGUGAGGGAGUUACAGUCUAGAGGGUGAGGUGAGGGAGUUAGUCUGGAGGGUGAGGUGAGGGAGUUACAGUCUAGAGGGUGAGGUGAGGGAGUUACAAUCUGGAGGGUGAGGUGAGGGAGUUACAGUCUAGAGGGUGAGGUGAGGGAGUUACAAUCUGGAGGGUGAGGUGAGGAGUUACAAUCUGGAGGGUGAGGUGAGGGAGUUACUGAGUAUGUGCAAUCCCCCCCCAAGCUCCC